UCCUCGUAACCCUGCCCCUGCAACCGUUAUACCCUCUGUCGUGCGCAACCUUUUUUUCCAAUUCCAUUCAUCGUUAACUUCACCAAUCAUGAACACGCACUAAAUUCAUCUUAACAUCUUCCACGAAGGAAUUGAGACAAGAUGAUAAUGUCUCCCGUUUCGCCGUUUUAUAACAAUUGUUCGCUGGGUGAGGCGGAUGCUCCACCAUCGCCAACUGCUGGUAUUUCUCUCGAGUUUGAAUACGUAACUUUUAAAGGUUUCGGAUCUGAAAUUUUCCUUCCUAUCCCAAUAACAUUGCUUUGAAAACCAUUCCCUAUCGUUUGUUAAAACAAAAUGGUAUUAAAGUUAAAAAUGUUGAUAAUAGGCGUGAUCAAUUACGCGCGUUACAUCAUAAUUCUUUCUUUUUAUAAAUGUUUAAGUGGGUUUGAGCUUGUUCUUCUUAGUGAAUUCAGGGGAUAGAGUGCAUAUUAUGUUCUUUGCUUAUGAAAUGUUUUAGCAUUUUCAUGCCAACGAACACUAUAUACCACGAGGCACUUACACGGGUAUGUAAUAGUGUGUGCAAUUCUUGCUGAUCCAACUCCUUUGUCCAUGAAUUUUUGAUCAACUGGAAAAAGGGCUAUGCGAAGAGUCUUUUGAAGGCACUUCCACAAUCAAGUUAGCAAAGUAGCUUGGAGAAGAAAAUGAAAAAUGUGUUGCAAUGUAAAAGAGGGAGGAGAAUAAGCAAUGUCUGUGUGCUUUGGAGAUCCUAUUUAUAGAUAACUCUUUGCGGGUGAAGCGGGUAAAAUUUGGUUGUGCAGUUCGGAUUGGCAGCUGAUUUAUUCUUAAUUUUGCUGAACGAAUCUUGGUCAUAGAGCCCCGGGAAUAUUACCCUUUUCCUAUGGGGUAUAUAUGACUCCAGAUGUAAUGAGAUAAUUGUAAAAGAAGGGAAAAAAGAAGAGAAGACGAGAAAUGAGGAGAAAAGAGAGAAGAGAGGGAGAGAAUAGAGAGAGGGGAAGAAAAAAUAAAUCUUUAUUUCAUUUGGAAGUUGUUUUAUUAUAUCGCCAUAACCCCCUUUAUAUAUGGUUUCAAAAAUCAUAACUAAGUAAAGAAAUAUGAAUGAAAAUUGGAAACUAAAAAAUUAAUUGUCUCCUGUUGUAUUGCAUCAAUAUACAGUCGGGUCCCUUUCUGCGACGGCCAUUCAUGAGGGAACUCAAUCCAUUGUGUCCGUCUUGAGAAACAUCACAAGUUUAAUUAGAAACCGAAUAAAUGGUGCAAUUACUUCGGAGUUCUUGAGUAUGGCGAGGUUGAGCUAGCCAUUGCAUGUUCGGGUUACUGGAACUGGCUUCUGAUGUUGAGAUUGUACCAGGGACAUCUCAAGAUUGUCCAGUAGGGUUUUAUAUUGGAGUGGUACGAUUAUAUAGUCAAUAUAGGAAUUUUAUAACAAAUAACAAGAUUCUGUUAUGAUUGGUAGACAGUGAUAUUGGUAAAUAUAUCCAAAAUUUGAUCUUUGUCUUCUGUUAUUAAUUAGCCUAUCACUGCCAAUAUGUAAAACCAUCUGUUUACCCUCAAAAGAGAAAUGAUAAGAGGAAACAAUUAAUAAUCUCCUUUUUCCCUUUCUUUUAGUUAGUGGCUUUCUAUAGGAUAGUUUGAGCCACCAAAUAUAGUAUGCAGAAAAUUGCUGCAAAAAAUUACAUAAAACAGUAGGAAGACAAAGUAUACCAUAAGUAGAAUUUAUGCAUUGUUUGCAUGAAUGACAUUGAAUGAAUGUAAUGCUACUGGAGAGUACACUCAGUUCAUUAUUUACGAAGUUUACUUGCAUAUGACGUUUUAUAUUAUGGGCCAUUUUCAUUUUAUGGCGCCAAUAUAUAAUUUUUUAUAACUAAUAGCAAAUUCUUUUUGGAUUGGUAGGAAAUUUUAUGCUGGAGAUUACAAGCAAAUUUUAUUCCAGUCUCUUACUUUUAAUUGGCCUGUCGUCACACACUUAUGCUGCCAGUAAGUAAAGACUUUUUAUUGGUUCUAAAUUUCAAGUUUCUUCGUUGGCAUAGAAAAAGCACAAAACUCAACAUUUUGUCUGAGAAAAGACACUAAAUAGUUAGAAAAAUACCCAGUCUAAUCAUUCCAGACAUCAUUUUCUGUGCACACAAUUCAUAGACGCCUGCUAGAUAUGUAAUUGUUAUGCUUCACAUGUAGCGUUCAAGUAGACAACUGUAGUCCCAUGGCUUUUAAAUUUUUUCCCUUGCAAAAACCAUUCAAGUGCAGAUGAUAGUUAUUUUCCAUCUCGACUGUGCUUGAAUGGGGGGCUUGUCUUGCCCCCUGCCCUAGUAUAUUAAUAUGAAAAGAAGUAAUGGCUGGGAGACAUGUCACCUUACCACUGUGGAAAUUAAAACACUAUCAUUUAUAAUAUACGUAAAAUCGUUUACAAAGAACAGAGAAAACAACGUUAACAAGUUCCUACCUGUUACAUGCUAAGGUUGGGAAGACCACAUUAAUCCAACUUUAUUAAGCCUAGGACUUCUCCUUUCAGCUUGUGUUGAAGUAGAGUCUUGGACCCUCUGUAAAUAAGCCCUUUUUAGCCAGCCAAUUCGCCACAUUGUUCCCCUCUUCAAUGUUUAAUAAGGCUUAAUUGGGCAGCGAGGCAUAUUACCUGUUGAUGCUUGUAGAAGCUCGGGGUGCUUUGAGUUGUAGACCUUAAGACAGAAAAUAAAAUAAUUCAAAAAAAAUACAAAAAUACAAAAAAUGCUCGUAAAAAACUAUAAACCAUCCUAAAAAAUCCAUGACAAAGCUAAAUUAACAAAAAUAAAAAUCUAACUUGCAAAAUACAUAGAAUAGAUCAAUAAAAUAGAAAAUAGUAAGUUCUCAACUUUCUAAUCACUUAACAAAGUUAUAUUAUAUUACUAGAAGUAGAGACAACUCACAAAAUUUCUAAUAUCAUCCCUACUAAUAUUAUCUAUAAGGAAUCAUUAAUAUCAUCACCUUAGAAUGUUCUUCUGAUUCUGUAUUGUCAUCCUUGCUUGUAACUGUGUAUUCUCCUCUCCUUUUCCGUGUAGGCAGAAAAAAGAACAUAAAGAAUGCGUAAAAUUUUUUAGGUUAAGGACAAUAAUCAAAUGUCUAAUAUGCAAGACCAACGGGGAACACUUUAGUCACUUAGAGGUGUAAGCGUCACAAAUGGCACUCAAAUUGUAGUAUUUGAGGCAUUUUAUGAGAUCCUCAAGCGAGGCGGGAUUCCAUGAUUAUGUCCAAAUUAGUUUGCUUUAAUCUUCUGUUGUGAACAAUCUCCUCCAGAUGAUAUUGUAUUGGCCAUGGAUAAAUUGAAUGCAUGCCAUGGAAUCAAAUUCCACCCACACCUUUCACACCAAACUGCAUGCAAAGUCUUAAACCAUUGCACAUUGCCCUAAUUUAGCCUCCCCGUGACAUCCAGUAGUUUCAUGAAACUCAUAAAAGGCAAAGACAUCUCCCACAUUAUUCCUAAGCACACCACAGCAGCUGUGAGGUUAGUACUACUUCCAUAACACCUUGUCAAUGUUGAGUUAAAUAAUAAUACUAGAGGAUGGUUUUCUCCCAUGCUCCACCUGAGGUUGUCUUGUCAUUUUGUGUUGUAAUUUAGUUCCUUCAAUUAUAAAUACUGCCAAUUCAAAGAUUUGAAUGAGAUGUUCAACUAUUUUACUCACCCUUUUGUCCUGCAGAAUGAGAUUUUCAACUAUUUUACUCACCCUCUUGUCUUGCAUUCUUAAUCCCCAAAUCUUUUGGAAAUUGGAAUCAUUCCGUUCCACUAACAGUGGAACUACAGCUUGAACCAUACGAGGCUUAGAGGAGGCUGCCUGUAAAUCUUUAAUACUGAAAUAGCAUUUCAGGAUUAAUGAAUUGAGGGAGUGAGAGCUUGAACCUGCUAGAAGUGAACCUUAUUUUCCCAGCUAAGGAACCAUUACAUGUACAUGGUCCACUCUUUAGAGGCAAGGUUGAUCUUCAUUCUACCCUUUUAUCACCUCAUAACCAGGCAGCCAAUUAUUCCAAGUAUUCCAAGAAAGAAAAAAAUCUUCAGCGGCAGGGCUGGGUGCCAAAUGUAUAUGUAAGAGGUUUGGGUGGUGCUCCCAUGCUUCACUAUCACCAAUUUCCAGCCACCUGUUGAGAGGAUUAGCUGCUUGUCUGUACAGAUGCACACAUCUAUGCACACUGUGCUUUCUUUGCCCGUUUCUACCCAUGCAGACAGAUUACAUAGCUUCAUCGAAAGUUUGGAAUUUGAGCAACUCCUUCAGUGUUAUAUUUUCAUUUAAAGUUUAGUUCAAAAGUCCUUUGUAUAUCUCAUUAUAUUGCACAUUGCAGAGCUUGCCACCUAUGGCUUCAGAAGAUCUUUGAUGGUUUUUCCUUUGAAUCUAUGCCCGUAAUAGAUCCUAUAUCAUCUGCAGUGUCGGAAAUAAUGAUGGAGCAUCAGGAAUAUACGGUUCUUCCUCUCUUACCCCUCAUUCUUUUUUUUCCCUCUAGUUUUGGUUGCUAAAUUUCUUUGCUUUUUCUAUUUUGUUUCUGUUUUUGUAUAUGUGAUUCUAAAAAUAUGAAUAAUUCAUUUAUGUUAUCAUUGUCUCCAACUUAGAUGGAUUAUUAUAUAACUAUUAUUUUGUUAAAUAUAACACAUUUGGGUGGCUUUCCAACUUGAUUCCUAUGUCUCGAAGUAACAUUAUCCAUAUUAGCUCAGUUGCAGUGGUAGCCAUUAGACGAUAUUUUCAAACUUGAGUCACUUGACACUGAUAUUGUUGGUCGCUUAUGCCAAAGCAAUGUAACUUUUUCCCGAUUAUAUACUAAAACUUGCAUUUUGACUUUUGAGGGCUUACAGCCAAUCAACAUCACAUAAAUCAGUACCAUAUACAAUGUCUGAAUAUGUGCUGCUUGAAAAAACAAAAACAGCGAUAAAAUAAGUUGCUGAUACUCAUUACAAAAUUCAUUAGUGUUGCAUUAUAAAAUAUUAAAAGAAAAAAACUAGUAUCUGGUUUUCUUCUUCUUCUACACAUCUUGAGGCCGAGCUGUCGUGUACAUGCACACAUUUUGCUUAGAAGAAAUAACAAACUUCAUCUCCCAAGCUGUCUUGUCCACAUGCAUUUUGCACAAAACACACUCAUAAAGUUAAAUUGCAAAUUAAUUCAUACCUUGUCUUAUAUGGUAUCCUAAUUAGGCCAUUUAUAUCUUGAUACAUCUAUAUAUCAGUGUAUGUAAAUUAUAUAUAUGAAUACAUAUUACCUAAAGACCUUUAUUUUCUAAUCCUGUGAACUAUACAAGGUAAGUAGUUGUAGGUUUUUAAUAUUUUUCCACAUUAGAACUUGUAUUUUAAAUUUCAAAAGCUGCCAUGAAUUAUUUUGUAUUUAGUACGGAUACAAGAGUGAACAGACCAUACCACUCUAGAAACAUGAGACGACAUUAAUAAUGGAUAAUGCUAUUGCUUCCCUAAUCUAACCAGUCCCAUAUCUGUUAUACAAAAAUAUAUUUCGAAUUAAACUCACUGCAAGUGUACGGUUCAUUAACAAGUAAUAAAGUGAAUGUGAGUCCAAGUAUUGUCCCGCAGAGAUUGAUUUAGUUCGAUUUUAAUUUUCGCGAACCGAAACAAGACUAAUAAGGUGUGUUUGUUGUGAUGAACUUAUAACCAAAAUAAGCUAUGUAUGCAAUUAUGAAUGAAUUACCUAAAUUAAAUGCAAAUUAUGCUAAAUGAAAAUUGAUGUCUUUUAAUGAAUGACAAACGCACUAGGAUUGUGAAUUCCCGUGCAAUAAUUCUUUUUAACCUUAGUUUUACACUUUGACAAUACAAUUGAAUUUUGACGAAUCAAUGUUCCUAUUUUAUUCAACAAUCUCUCUCGAGUAAUGUUAAACCCACUAUCUUACAUGAUUCAACUAUAUUUAUAUAAUGGAUACGACAUAUAAGAAUGUAUUGGAUUUUAUGCGCAAUAUUAAAGAGAUGAAAACGAAAAUCAACACAAGAAUUUUACGUGGUUCAGCGGUAUGCCUAUGUCCACGAGAGCGAAGUGGAGAUUUCUUUAUUCAGUUGUGAAAAAUAGGGUUACAACAUAUUAUUUAUACUAACCCUAGCCUGGGCUCAUAUAAGACUUUAAGGCCCGUACAGAAAAUAUCCCCGUACCGUACCGCGAGGGCGUUGCCCUCGCACCCCCAACCGAUUCAGCGUUCCUAACAACCAGACAGUGAAUUAAACCCGCACAAGGCAGAUGCCGUCGCUCCGCUCCUCUCACUCCACUUCACUCCACGCCAGCAUCGACCCAUUUGAUCCAGGGCCUGUGUUCCACUCUAUAUGAGCCACAUACACAACAAUCUCCACCUUGGCAAAUAUUCACCCUUUAGGAGAAAAAACAUAACCUGGAAAAAACCACACCAUCUAGGACCAAUGGGUUGAGACACAUCCUCUCUAACAGCUAGAGAUAUUAAUCAAGUUCAAGCAAUGCUUGAACCUAUCCAUUGUGAUUGGCUUUGUCAUCAUGUCUGCUGCAUUCUCUGAGGUAUGCACCUUCUCUAACAACAGCUCUCGUGAAAUAACCAACUCUCUUAUCUUAAGAAAUCUCACGUCAAUGUGCUUGGUUCUUGCAUGAUAAAUCUGAUUCUUAGCUAAGAAGAUGACGCUCUGACUAUCACAGUACAGCUUCAUUCCAUCUUGCUUGAUCCCAAGUUCCCUGACAAGCCCUUUUAACCACAAUAAUUCCUUGACUGCCUCAGUUGCUGCCAUGUACUCUGCUUCAGUUGUAGAUAAUGCCACAAGUGAUUGCACCAUUGACCUCCAACAUAUGGGCCCACCUGCGAGUGUGAAAACUUAACCUGUAUGGGACCUUCUGUCAUCCAAGUCCCCUGCAUAAUCUGCAUCUACAUAUCCUUGAGCUGAAAUAUCACCAUGUUGUCUCUCAAACAUGAUCCCGCACUCCAUUGUACCUUUCAAGUACUUGAAAAUCCACUUUACAGCUCUCCAAUGCUCUCUACUAGGAUUAGCCAUAUACUUACUAACCACACUGACUGCAUGUGCUAAAUCUGGUCUGGUACACACCAUUGCAUACGUCAAACAUCCAACUGCGCUGGCAUAAGGUACCUUUGACAUCUCUGCAACAUCUUCUUCACUCUUUUGGCACUGAUUAUUAGACAAUUUGAAGUGAUUUGCAAGUGGUGUGGCAACUGAUUUUGCAUCUGACAUGCUAAACCUCUCUAACACUUUCUUCAAAUAAUUUUUCUGAGACACCCAUAAUUUUCUGGCUUUCCUAUCUUUGUUGAUCUCCAUGCCAAGAAUUUUCUUAGCCGGUCCCAAGUCUUUCAUAUCAAACUUACUGCGCAACAAAUAUUUCAAUUUGUCUACCUCAUCCAUGUUCUUAGCAGCAAUUAACAUGUCGUCCACAUACAAUAUCAAGAAAAUAUAUGAGUUAUCCUCAAGAACCCUGUAGUAAACGCAACAAUCAUACUCACAACGACUGUAGCCAAUCUGAAUCAUAUGAGAGUCGAACUUCUUGUACCAUUGCCGUGGAGACUGCUUAAGCCCGUAUAAAGAUUUCUUCGGUUUACACACAAGAUUCUCUGUUCCUGGUUCCAAAAACCCUUGUGGCUGCUCCAUGAAAAUCUGUUCCUCCAAAUCACCAUGAAGGAAAGCAGUCUUCAUAUCUAGCUGCUCUAACUCCAAAUCAAAAUUAGCCACCAUUGCCAAAACAAUCCUAAUGGAAGUGUGUCUGACGACCGGAGAGAAAAUUUCAUCAUAAUCUACUCCCUUUCUCUGUGAGUAUCCCUUUGCUACUAAUCUAGCCUUGUAUCUUUCUCCUUCCUUUUCUGACAUUGUUUCUUUCUUUCUAUACACCCACUUACACCCUAUCUGUUUCUUUCCCUCUGGAAGCUCCACCAAAUCCCAAGUAUCAUUUUUAUGCAGUGACUCAAUUUCCUCCGUCAUAGCCUCUAUCCAUUUACCUUUCUCCUGACUACCAAUGGCAACCUGAAAAGUUAUAGGAUCACUAUUGUUGGUAAUGAGUGCAUAAGAAACCGAAUUCUCGAAUCCAUACUUUGCUGGUGGUUUGGUCGUGCGAUGUGGUCUAUCUAAGGCAACACUAUGAUACUGCUCCACCUCUGUCCCAGAACUAUCUGCUCCCUGAGCAUUAAUCUCUGUGUUUACAUUGUCUAGCUCUACUUGCACCACUUGACUCUUACCUCUGCCCUCGUCUGAAUUGAGCUUCUCUUUAUCUGUAGAAACUUUAAGCAUGAAUACUUCAUCAAAUAUUGCAUCCCUACUUAUCACCAUCUUCCUUGCCUCUGGAUCCCAAAACUUGUAUCCCUUUACACCUUUAACAUAGUCCAGAAAAAUGCAUUUUCUUGAUUUCGGAUCAAGUUUGGAUCGCUGAUCACUAGAUACAUGCACAUACGCUAGACAACCAAAUACUCUCAAUUCAGAAUAAUCAACUUCAUUACCUGUCCAAACUUCCUCUGCAACUUUCCCAUCUAGUGCUGCUCGUGGUGAUCUGUUUAUGACAUACCAUGCCAUGUUCACUGCUUCUGUCCAAAAACUCUUCGAGAGCCCUGCAUUCAACCUCAAACAUCUUGCCCGUUCUGCAAUUGUUCUGUUCAUCCUUUCCGCAACACCAUUCUGUUGCGGUGUCUUGCGAACUGUAUAGUGCCGCUGAAUACCAUGCUCCUCACAAAAUCUCAGAAACUGUGAAUCUGUAUACUCUGUACCGUUAUCUGUCCUCAGAUACUUAAUUUUUCUGCCCAUCUGGUUUUCUACUUCUGCUUUCCAUAAUUUGAACUUGGCAAAGGCUUCAGGCUUGUGCUUCAUGAAAUAGACCCAAACUUUUUUAGAGAAGUCAUCAAUGAAAGUAAUAAAAUACUGAGAUCCACCUUUGGACAACUCCUUCGUUGGUCCCCAAACAUCUGAGUGCACGUAAUCAAGAAUGCCCUCUGUCUUGUGCUUUCCCAUCUUGAACUGUACUCUGGACUGUUUUCCAAGUACACAGAACUUGCAGAAAUUGAGCUUGCAUGAUUUUACCCCCUUCAACAAAUUCUUCUUGUGAAGCUCAAUCAUGCCACGUUCUCAUAUAUUCCCCAGUCGCAUAUGCCAUAGAAGAGUGUCAUCUGACUCAGAUUCUGCUGUAGCAACUCCACCUACAACUGUAUCCCCGAGUAGUUUGUAGAUAUUCCCUACUAAUUUCUUACCCUUAAUUACAAUCAUAGCCCCUUUUUUCACUGUUAGAGCCCCACACUCUGACUUAUAAGAGUAACCAUUUGUGUCUAAAGUGCCUAAAGAAAUUAGAUUCUUUUUCAACUCAGGUACAUGCCUAACAUUUUUCAAGGUCCUUAUCACACCAUCGAACAUUUUAAAUUUUAUGGACCCCAUUCCAAUGACCUUAUAUGAUGCAUCAUUACCCAUCAGAACAGAUCCAAAAUUACCAAAACGAUAUGAAUGAAACCAAUCCCGGUGAGGACACAUGUGAUAUGAACAUGCUGAAUCAAGUACCCAACAGUCAUUUAAUUUUACAGAAUUACCUGUAGAGACUGAUGACAUGUCUCCAUCUCCAGAAUCCGAGUCUCCUUCUGCAACACUAGCUGAGUUUGAGGACCCAUCACCUUUCCUUUCAUCAUUCUGCUUCUUAUUAGGACAAUCUCUCUUAAAGUGGCCCAUCUGAUGGCAUUUGUAGCAUUUUACAUUUUUCUUAUUUUGAUUUCUAGAUUUUGAUCUUGUGUUCCUUCUAAAAGAAAUACCCCUGUCCUUCCUUCUCCCACGAUCCUGGUAGCCCUUUACGAUCAACCCUUCACCCUGUGAAGUUUCACCAGUACGCAGUUUCCGCUGGUUGUAGGCUAACAGGGCUGAUGUGACUUCCUCCAAUUCGAGAGUCUCUUUACCCCACGUCAACGUGGUCACCAGAUGGUCAUACGAAGGAGAAAGUGAGCACAACAAAAUCAUUGCCUUGUCUUCAUCAUCAAACUUGAUUUCAAGUCGCAAUAGAUCGCUGAUGAUUUGAUUGAACACAUUGGAACACAUUGGUGUGUUGAAUCAAAUUCGUACCCUCCAACAUCUUCAGCCCGUACAGCCGCUGCUUUAGAUGCAGCUUGUUCGUGAGAGAUUUCGACAUAUAACGACUCUCCAAUUUCUCCCAAACCUCCGUCGGAGACUCAACUUUCAUGACGUGAUACAUGAUUUCGUCCGCCAAACAAAGCUGAAUUGUACCAACUGCUCGCGCCUCGAGCUCUUUCCAAUCGGCAUCUGACGUACCCUCUGGUUUCUUCCCAGAGAGUGCCUUCACCAUCCCUUGCUACGCCAACAAAUCUUUCACCCUUCGCUGCCAUAAUCCGAAGUUCCCAGAUCCGUCAAACUUCAUCACAUCAAAUUUUGCAAUCGAAGAACUCGCCAUCCAAACCUAGUUCUGAUACCAGUUGUUGGAUUUUACGCGCAAUAUUAAAGAGAUGAAAACGAAAAUCAACACAAGAAUUUUACGUGGUUCGACGGUAUGCCUACGUCCACGAGAGCGAAGCGGAGAUUUCUUUAUUCAGUUGUGAAAAAUAGGGUUACAACAUAUUAUUUAUACUAACUCUAGCGUGGGCCUAUAUAAGACUUUAAGGCCCGUACAGAAAGUACCCAUGUACCAUACCGCGGGGGCGUUGCCCCCGCACCUCCAACCAAUUCAGCGUCCCUAACAAACAGACAGUGAAUUAAACCCACAAAAGGCCAAUGCCGUCGCUCCGCUCCUCUCACUCCACUUCGCUCAGCGCCGGCAUCGACCCAUUUAAUCCAAGGCCUGUGUUCCACUCUAUAUGAGCCACAUAUACAACAGAAUGCAUGAAUUUUUAUGAACACUUAAAGAUAUCUUUCUUUUAAACGAGACUCCAUCCAGUGGGUUGCAACCCUGUGAAAGCAUAUGCAGGAACUAUUCAGUCCCACGUACGUUCAGCAAGACUCCGAAAAAGCUUCCGUAAAGAAGUUCAGGGGUUCGUGCGAAGCUUAGUAAGCCUUCUGAUGUCAAAGCAGAAAUUCUAAGAUUCUGCCAAAAGGGAGAGGAAGAAGACAGGAAAGUGAAAUUCUCAAUCAUAGGUAAGGCUCCACGAUAUUUUGACCUGUGGUCAUUAUAGCGGUUCCUUCUGCUCCUAGAAAACGUCCGUUUUUUAGAUGGGAAGCCUACCAACUAGCUUAAGGGGGGCAAGACCCAUAUCCACUCGAUUGAACAAAACAAGACCUGAUUAUAGCUCUCCCCUCGCUAGGUCUUGGAUCACCUUCUCCUAUGAGCUUUUCUAAUCCCGUUGAUCUCGAGAUGGCUAAGUCCGAUUCACCUUGUACUGAAGGGGCGAGUGGGAGGAGUGAGAGGAGUGAGAUUAAAAAAGUCAUAUAAAACAUAGUAGUAUAUCUUUAUUCCAUAUUGGACCCUAUGACGAUUUAUACUAUGCCGAGCCUAUUUUCCUUCUUUCGAAUGUAUAAAAUAAAUCACCACAUUCACACAAUUACCUUGCAUAAUAAUCGUGGAGAAAGGAAAUUUAUAUAAACCAUUCAAUAUCCAAAAAUGUGUUUUGAUGUCAAAUAUGUAAACUAAAAAUUAAAAAUUCAUAUCGCAUGGUUCAUCGUUCUCCCAAAGCAAAUAAAUCUAGCCAUGAAGGAAAAAAAGAAUAUUGAAGAAAUGACAUCAUCAAUUUAAAUCUUGAAUUAAAAUUUCGCAUCCUAGGGUUGAUCUUCGUGUUUCUUGCCUCCUAUACUCUAAAACCCUUAUCAAUGUGUUGGAAUGCGUGCCUCCCCACUUAUGGACGACCUUAGGGCUUUAAAAGACGCCUCAAGAUUUGUUUUCAUAAGAAUUUUAAUCGAAUAAGGAAAUCAGAUUUUUUCCCGUCCGAAGUGUACUAUGCUACAACAUAGUACAGAUCAAUGCUAUAAUAUAGUUCAAUGAACAUCAAGCCUCCAAGUCUUUGAAAUAGGACACGUGACCGCAUAGGAGUUAAUACCAUGCGACCGCAUAGUGUGCUCAGUUUCUGACAUUUGCGUUUUAGUCCCUAAACUCCGUUUUCUCGUUUCUUGACCUCUUUUAUCUUUUUUUUACCUUCCAAUACUUCACGUCUUCACUAAAUUGGUCAUUGACUCUUUCACAUCUUCGUUUUUGCUUCCGGGUCAUCUUUCGGCUAUUUGCACUUAGGCCUUGUCCUUUUUCGCUUGUUUUUCCUAAAUUCAGCCCUAUUCAUCAAUAUUGUCCUGCAAACAUAAUUUAUAUGGAAUUAAGCCAUAUUUCAAUAUAUUUAUCAACAAUUAUCCAUGUUUUGUGGCCAAAAUAAAUAUGUAAAACGCACUUAUCAUUAUUCAUUUAUCCCUGGAAAUUAUUUAAGCAAACCCUAAUUCAUGUAGAUAAUGGUUUUAUCUUUUGGCGUGAUUCGCUAAACUCAAACCAAUUUCUCAUACUAGUCUCUUUUAAAGGUAUUCACUCAGAAAUUCCAUCUCAUUGUUUGUUAGAUAGUUGUAGAAAUAUAUUUUUCGUAAGAGAAAUAAUACUUUUGUGAAUCACAUUAAUGAAUACGAUUUAUGGCUGUAACCGUUUGUUGUUUUAUUUGUAAAUUGUGCAGUUAACAAGAGUUUUUGGGGACUUCAACAAAAGGUACUGAACGAUUUACCUAUCUCUUUGCUUUAAUUUUGUUAUUUGACUUGGCACUUGAUGAUUUGUUUCUUUUUUUCACGUAUACUUUUAUUUUUUUAUUAUUAAUUUGGGCUGUCUUGUACGCAUGUACACGUAUUUUGCACGAAACAUGCAGUGUUCAUCUCUUGAGUUGUCUAGUAUAAAUGCACACAUUUUUCUUCCUACAUGAAGUUAGAAUGCUAUGAGCACAACGUACACACAUGUUUAAUGGAUGCUUAGUCUCCUACUUUUACUUCUCUUUCAGAACUUCCCUUUUUGUGAGUUUUCUGUCAAUUUUCUUUUAUUUAUAGGGUGUAUGCUUAUUUUUAUGUUUAUAUGGGAGUAUUACUGUCAUUUUUCAUUUUAAUAGACUGGUAGAUGUCAAAGAAUCAACCCACAUAUAUAUAUUAAAAAGUGUAUAUUUGUCUAUACGUUCUGUACUUUACCCAAUUCUUGCACCUCGGCCUAGCCUCUAAAAGCAGUUGAUUUACUUCAUAUCAUUCAAUAUUGUAUACUCUUGCUAUCAUGUUCCAUGAUCUUAAUUAGGUAGCACAAUAUGAGUAGCUUCAGGUUGACAAUAAUGAGUGUAACGCAUAUUUUUUCUAAUAGUUCUUAUAUACUAUAGAUUGAGACAGGUGGCAUAGAUAAAGUUGUCAGUAUGCAAGGAAGUAAAGUAGAAGGUGAAACUUGAAAGUGGAGCACUUCUUCACUGAAUGACGUGAUCAUGUGCUUCCUGUGGUAGAGGAAACCAGUCCGUUUGUGCAAAACUAGUCCAACCUAUCAUUACAAGAAUGACUUGUUGGAUGGAUGAUCAAGGAGAAACCGUCUAACGAAUCUAGUAUAGUCGAUAAGGUACUGAAGCCAAUCAUCUUUGAAUCUAGAAUAGUUGAUAAAGUACUAAUAUCACAUCUUGCCACAAAACAUUUUUAAAACUUUUAUAAAUUGUUUUGUUGGUUGCAGGAGAAAUAUAAAAUGAACGCAACACUAAUUUUCUUUAAAUUAACUCCUUAAAGACUUGUAGACACCAAAAAGUAAGAAAGGCCUUCGUUCAUUGAGGUAUAGUUAUAUUAUACUGCUGCAAGAGAGAGACUUUCAACAGGUGAUGGAUCAAAUUGUGCUAGGGACUUCAGUAACUAACGUUUUUGUUAUAAGUCAUUAAAACAUUCUGUUGAAUUAAAUUGUCAUUUCAGCAACGCUUUUAUAUUAAUCAGAUUUCAAUUCCACUUGCUACUUGUCAGGUGCAGGUCUUCGAUGAAGCCGAUAUUUCCAUGAAUCAUUGAAGUUGCAGAACCGACCACAUAAGGUAUGUAGCAACUAGCAUGUUAUUUACCCUUUAAAAUGAUUUAUGUUUCUAAUCAUGACAGUAUUUUUUCAAUGGAAUUUGAAUUAUGCCCCUUUGUUUUUUCCCAAAAAGAAAAUUUACUUCUUGCCCAGUCUGUAUUUGCAAUGUCAACAUGAUAGAGAACAAUAGAAAGUUCAAGUUAUAUAGAGUAUAGAAAAAACACUUACACUCCCAUGUAUAAACGGGAUCAAAUUUUUAUCCAUAAAACUGGAUGUCUCAGAAUCAAAACUUUUAACCCUUUCUGAAGUCCCGGACUUAGCCUUCCAAGAAAAGCUUGAAAAUCUGCGAAGAAUGUUUCAGAACUUAUAGUUACAAGAAAUGACAUGAUAUGCUAGAAAAGACCAAUCGGAAAGCAAUGUCAAGAUUUCCCAUACUUCUUAAUAUAUCCUGCAACUAGCUUUUCAAGUUUGGCCCUUGACGCAUAAAGAUAUGACUUAAUUGAUUUCCCCAUUCUAGGAAUUUGGUGCUGUUGACGUAAGCUAAGAACUUUGUCAACUGCCUUCUCAACUAUGAUUUUGUGAGCGUCCUUGCUUAAAAGGCGGUCACCCCAAGUUGGUUGUACUAAAUCCUUAACAUAUUCCACAAGAACAGCUCUAAAAUUUCUCAUUUGUUUUGAUUCCUUCAGCAGAUAUCCACAUAUUUGCACAAAACAUGCACUCAUCAUCUUUAUGUUGUCUUGUACAAAUGCACACAUUUUGCACAGAAUGUGCACACACUUCACCUCUACUGUGUCAUAGAGAGAACCCUAGUAGUGAGGCUGAACCUCAAUGAAAGAGUUCACUUUGGUGAAGAGUUAAGGAAAAUUCAGUUUUCUAAAUAAAGGACUGAUGGUUGUACUUUCUGGACCAUGUGUUCUUACUGUUAUUAACGAGAACAAUAUUGUUUUCGAAUAGUGUUGUUUGAGGUGUUAGAAUGUGAAGUGUAGAAAAGGGUUCCACUUGGUGGCUAUUGUGGUCCACCCACUAUGGGGUCUUUGCUAGGGCUGGAUAUGGUAUGGUUCGGUUCGGUUCCCUUAAGAACCAAAUCGGACCCAAAAUUUUCGGGUACUUAAUAAUUGGAACCGUCAGGUCUAAAUUUAAUUAUGGAACCGUUCGGGUUCAGUUCCGUUCCGUUCCGUUCCGUUCCGUUCCAUACCAUAAUUACAUUUUUUAACAUUUACAACACCACAUAAAUACAACUAAUAAUAUGUUGAAUCAUAACUUUUACAAAUUAACAAAGUCCCAUUAAAAACAUAUAAAUAACAAGUUAUCCAAUAACAUUAAUUUACCAAUGUAUACAUAUACCAAAAAGUAGAUACUAGUAUUAAAAUAUCGGCAAUCCAUAUCAAUAAUUCCCUUGCUUCAGCCUUCAAGCCUUCAAAAUCAAGUCUACAUAAAACAAUUAAAUAUGAAUUAAAAGUCAUAGAAAUAAAAUAUUUUUAAAUAUUGCUAAUACUUAUCAGCUAUUUGAUUAAUUAUCAAUUUCUUGACUUGCCAUACGAAGAAACUCUACGGAAAAAAUUGAAAAAACACAAUUAACCAACAUAAAUGAGCUAAAAAUUGUUCAACUAAUAAGAUUUAAUAAGAAAAAUAAAACAUAUAUUUUAAUACCUGUCUUAAUGCUCUCAUAGAACUCUGUCUCUUCAAUGCAAAUUCUAUCUUCGAAAACUCUCAAAAGUCUAGAUUCUUUUAUUAGCCAGUUUUGUGUACAAAUCAAGGCCUCAACUGUUUUAAGAGUUAAAGAACUCCUAAAUGGGUUAAGAAUGCGCCCUCCAGUAUGCUGACUCAGAAGUCACCGUAGAUACAGAAAUGGCAAGAACAUCCCUUGCAACUUUAGAUAAAAAUUCAAAGCUUGAACUGUUGAUCUUCCACUUUUUUAAAAUGUUAAAGUUUUCAUCAAUAGCAUUUUCAGUAGGUUCCAUUAGAUAUCGUUGUACCUCAUCUUUUCCAGAAAAAUCCAUUUUGCUAGUUUUCAUUUUCUUGUACCCAAAAUUUACAAUCAUCCCAAUCAUCAUCAUCAUCUGAACCCUCCAACAAAGUGACUCUAUCAUUAUAUUCAUUGCCACCACUUCCACUUCCACUAGCUCCAUUCUUUGAACGAUGACAUCCCUUGUACUGGUUAUACAAAGCAUACAAUAAUUUCAUGACCUCAGUUUUUGUGUCUUCAACCUUAACAGAGUCAUACAAGAUACCAAUACAAUGUACAACAAACUCCAACUUAUACCUAGGAUCAAGCACAAUUGCUACAAUCAAAAUUUUGUUCAUUUUAUCAACAUUAUCCCAAUACUUGUCAAACUUAAUCUUCAUGCUGUUUGCUAUGCUACUUAGCAAAUAAUCUUGUUUGUCACCCAUUUUUUUCAAAAUUUGCUCAAUUUUACACACUUCUUGGAAGUAAAUAUUGGAAGUAACAUUCAAUGAAGCACUAAACUUCAAUGUGACAUCAUAAAAGGUUUUUAGAAACUUAGCAAAUUUUCUUGCUUUCUCCCAAUCAUAACUUGUAGGUGGCCCCUCUUUUUCUUUUCCACCUUCAUUCUCGUCAAAAUAUUUAUAAUAAAAUCCAUCAUCUUCCUCCAUUCUAAAAAAAGUUUUUUCAAAACUUAAUGCACUAUCCAACAUUAAGAAUGUUGAAUUCCAUCUUGUAGAAACAUCUAAAACAGGAAGUUUUUUGUAUGCAAUCUUUUCCCUUUCAAUACAACAAUUAAAUUUCAUCAAUCGAGAAGGAGAUGAUCGAAAAUAUUUGACCGCAUUGCGAAUACUUUAUAUAGGUGGAUUAAACUCUUUCAAUCCUUCUUUAACAAUCAAAUUGACUGUGUGCUGAGCAACGUACAUGCAAAUAAGAGCCACCUAAAAUCAUAGCAUCAUCAGGUUUCCAAUUCUUUUGACUUGUUUUUCACAUAAAUGAUCGCUGCAUUAUUUGUGCUUGCAUUGUCUACAGUAAUUGUACCCACACGCUCUAUUCCCCAAUCAAACAAACAAUUUUCAAUAAGCUUCCUAAUUGUCUCCCCUUUGUGAUUUAGAACAACAGAAGAAGUCAAUAUCCUCUUAUGCAAUUUCCAACUUCUAUCAAUAAAAUGUGUCGUGACUACCAUAUAAUUGAUGUUUUGAAUUGAUGUCCAACAAUUAGUGGUUAAAGAAAUCCUUUUUCUAUCAUUAAUAAAUUUAAUCCUCAAUGAUUCCUUUGUUUCAUGGUAGAGAUGUAGCAAUCGUUCUUUGACAAGGAACCUCAAAUCUAGGACAAAGUUGAUGAACAAAUUCCUUAAAACCCACACAUUCCACAAAGAAAAAGGCCAAUUCAUCAAUAAUAAUCAUCUUAACCAAUGUUUUUCUACAGUUUUUUUUUAUUAAACACCAUUGCUGUAAUACCACCAUCAUUGUUUUCUCGAGUGAAUAUUGCUUGGUUGUCAUCAACCGUAGUGCUCUUAUAUGCAUAACAAAUUUUUAAAUGCUUCCAUAUGCUAGAAGUUCCUCUAUUAGUAUCAGCCUUAAAUGUUCUCCCACAAUAAUUACAUUUUGCUCUUUCUCCAUCAAGUAUUCUAGUGAAAUGAUUCCAUAUUUCCGACCUCUCAUUAAGCUGUUUUUUGUCUCCCAUUUGAGUACCCAAAACUGGUAGGAAAAUAUAAAGAAUAACCUAAUCUCAGGUUAUAAAAUACAAAGACUAACACACUUGCAUUUAUCUUACACAAAACACCACCAAAACACACUUGCAUUUAUCAAUAUAUUCGGAUUUGCAGGAAUAAUGAUCAAUUCAGAUUUGCAGUAACAACAGGAAAGAAAAUACAGCAAAUGGCAGAAACAUAAAAUCAGGAAAGAACUGAGAUUAAUGGACACAAGAACUUCAUGGUUUUGGGACAAAAUUUCAUCAACCAUUGCAGGGAUUUAACCCCAGUCAAUUUGCCAUUAAAAGAGGAAAUUACACUUGCAUUUGUCUUACACGAAACACCACCAAAACACACUUGCAUUUAUCAAUAUAUUCGGAUUUGCAGGAAUAAUGAUCAAUUCAAAUUUGCAGUGACAACAGGAAAGAAAAUAUAGCAAAUGACAGAAACAUAAAACCAGGAAAGACUGAGAUUAAGGGACACAAGAACUUCAUGUUUUUGAGACAAAAUUUCAUCAAUCAUUGUAGGGAUUUGACCACAGUCAAUCUGCCAUUAAAAGAGGAAAUUACACAGCAUUUGUCUUACACGAAACACCACCAAAACACACUUGCAUUUAUCAAUAUAUUUGAUUUUUCCCUAGUCCUUAGAGUCCUUCAUAUAGGUAAGACUAGAGAUGCUAUCACAAUAUACAACAAUAAUAUUUAAAGUUUGUGAGACAAUGCCAAGCUCUUGUAGGAACAUUUUCAACCAAAUAAAAUUUUCGAUUGUGACAAAUCAAGCAAUGAGUAUAGCAUAUCAGUGUGGAAGAAAGCAUAAUUGGGUGUCAAUUUGAGGUUGCUUCCCAGUCAACAUCAUUAAAAUCUAUUGCAAAUUUGAUAUUUGAUAGCAAAGCAAGUAAUCAACUCUCUCUAAGGUAUCAAAGUAUUACUUUGGUAUUUAACAGGAAUCUACUAACCCCACUGCAUAACAUUUAUCAGGUAGAUGUACACUUAUCGGCGCCGACAAAUGAUACUAAGAAGAGAAUUGACAUCGGGAAAAAAUUGAGGGCUUACUAUCGAAAGGUCUAUGGUUGGAGGUCUCGACUUUGAUGGGCUUUCGCCUUUCGGAGUUCACCGCUUCGAUGGCGACACUGGGGGCUGAACGGAAAGUUGGUCUUUGGAGUUUGGACGGCCGAACGGAGCGUUGGGGUUAAUGUUAAUAGGGUUGGUGUUUUUAGUGUACUAUGUAGUUUAUUUAGGGCUGGAUAAUGGAUACUUGGAUUUAGUGGGUUAGGCAUUAGAGAUUUAGAUUUGGGCUAAAAAUGGAAGAAUAAAAUGGGCUUGAAUGCUUGAUGUUGAGCCAAAAAAAAAAAAUUUAAAUGAAACAAAUAAUUGGGCCAAAAAAUUAGAUUUAGAAAAGUUUAAAAUAAUCUGAUUUAUUCAAUAUAAAAAAAUAAGAAAAAUUCGGUUCUUAUUCGGUUCUUGGUCUAGAACAAAGAACCGAAUCGUACCCGUCGAUUUUCGAUUCGGAUACGCAUUCGGGUAUUUAAUUUAAAAAGAACCGUUGGGUUCGGGAGUUUUGUCCGGCCCUAAUUUUUGUCUUUGGGGUGUACUAAGAAUAGAAGUUAUGAUGACAGAAUAAAUAGAGAGAAGAUGUGGAUUCCAUUUGGCCCGAACAUGGUUCACGAGAGGGAUGAGGGCAUAUCCAAGUGGGAAUGUAAUGCCAAAAAAAAUGAAGAUGGAGGUAUAUAGAUAUGUCUUCUGACGAUGAAACAGUUUGUGGUGAAGGUUUAAAAAUGAUAAAAAAGUUGAAUUUCCGGAAAAGAUGAACAUUCAAGGGGAAAAUAGUACUAUUGGAGUAAAGGUGGAAAUGCAAAUGCCAAUGGUGAAAGGUGAUAUUUCAAGGUGAAAAGCACAAUGAAAAAUUGGAAAAUAGUAAGGAGGAGAAAAGCACGAGGAGAAAAUCUGUGGCAAAGAGUUGAAGAAGUUCAUGGGGAGAGGCUUAAAAGUUGACAUUAAGGAGGCACUUUUGAUGAUGGGAAAUGUUGAAGAAGAGGAAUUAAAUGAGGAAAGUGAAGGAGAUAAGGAAUUGGAUCCUGGUUUUGGAGCAGAGGUGAUGGAUGCUUUUAAGAUUGGUGCGAUUUUUUACGGAUGGAUAAUAAUAUAUUUGCUGGUUUGCAGUUUGACUGUGAUUCGGGAAUGGAGAGCUUGAAGAUUGUUAAAUAUAUUGGGGGGGGUGGGGGGUGGAAAGUUCUCCUUUUGUUUAUUGGUGUUUGGCUCAUUUCUUCCUCAUAAUCACAGUGCUAAUACUGCAGGAAAAUAUGUUAGAUUGUGACUUCACAUCUAUCCCUCAAAAUUGAUCUGUAAAUAUCUUGUUUUAAAGUUAGAAAUUUGAAUAUCAUAAUUUGUACUUUAAAAAAAAAAAAAAAAAAGGGUAGUAGUGAGGAUAAGCUCUAUUAGUUUGUCAGUUUGUCAGUGUAUUAGAAAGUAGAGAAGCAGGUGAAACAAUUAGGACACCUUGUGUAAAUAAACAAAGGAAUGACUCUGGCUCUUCACCCAUUGAUAAAAAAAAUUUAUCAGUCCGUUGGGACUCAAGGAGCAUUUGAUUCUUUCUCAAGCACAGAGCUUGCUGGUUGAUAAGGUCAAGAAACUCUUGUAAUCUGAAGCUGAAUUUCAGAGCUCUAAGGCAGAGGCUUCAGAUGGAAAUCCUCCAUUUCUAGCCGAUAAAUAUAAUCUAGUUUCUGGAAAUUUACCAGUUGCUCCAGUUCACUGUCUGCAAGGAAUAUGGCAACUUCCAGCAAGCUCGACAUGUACCAAUUCACCCGAUGAUUUCGGCUACCACCACCAGUUCACAUUACAAUCCUUCUCUGCUUUGGCCAAGUUAUCAAUCAACUGCCACUGCUGCCCAACACAUUUCUAGUCAUCAGAAGACUCCAGAAACAGCUACCAAUUCUCAGUAUGUUCCAAGACUCCAUAAACAGCCACCAAUUCUCAGUAUGUUCCUACUCCACUCGUGCCAAGGGAUUUAACAACUGUUACUAUUGACUAGUUUAUUACUACUCAUCAUAAAACUCCAGAAACCACUACCGGUUGUCAGUAGAUACCCACUAGACCCUGGCCGAGGAAUCCAACGACUUUACCACCAAGUGCUUUACACAUUAGUGCUAUGUAUCUUUCUGUCAACCCAAUUUCCACUCAAAGAUAAAGCAUAUAGCUGUUGGUUACCACUUUGUUAGUGAUCAUGUGACAAAUGGAAUCUUCAAUGUCUAGUACAUAUCUAUGAAGAACCAGCUUGCAGAUUCUCUUACUAAACCACUAUCAAGACAUCAAUUUGCUACAUUAUGGGCCAAGAUUAUUAUCUCCAAUGGGAGUACCAUCUUGCAGGGGCCUAAUGUACAAGCAUAUUCUUUAUUGCUGGUGCCGUGAUCAUGGCAAGUCAGCUGGCACUCUCAGUAUUGAAUUCAUUCCUAUGUUGUGAUCAUGGAAAGUAAAUUAGUGCAAGCAUGACUUGAGGACUGCAGUCAUGCAAUUGUAAACCUGAUACUUAGAUUAGUCACUUUCUGUAAAUAGAUUCCAUUAAGACUGCUGUACAUAACAGAGAUACAUAUUAAUGGAAACCUUAACUUUCCAGACAAAAAUUUCUUUUCUACAUCCGUCCUUUCUCUGACGGAAAGUGUUUAAAUAAAGAGGAAACAUGCUCCUGAUCAUAUAUUUGUUUGCAGAAACAUAAUUAAUGUACUUGUUCGCAAAAUUUGCAGAAACAUAAUUAAUCAUAUGCUAUUUGAAAAAAAAAAAACAGUGACAAAAUAAGUUGCUGAUAUCCAUUACCAAAUUCGUUAGUGGUGCAUUAAUAGAGAAUUAAAGUAAAAAAAUAGCCUCAGAUUUUGUGAAGGAAUAAUUCUUCUUCCACACAUUGUGAGCCGAGCUGUCUUGUACAUCCAUGCGCACAUUUUGCACAGAACAUGCACUGACUUCAUCUCCCUAGCUGUCUUGUACACACAUGCACACAUUUUGCACAAAACACACACAUAAGGUCAAAUUACAAAUUAAUUCAUACCUAGUCUUAUGUAGUAUGCAAAUAAGGUCAUAUAUGUCUUGAGAUAUAUCUAUAUAAAGCUUGCCCCAGGCCCAACUAAUUUUUUAAGGUAAAAAAAUUUUUAAAAAUAAAAAAAGAACAAAUUCUACUGGUAUAGAAAAUUUGUUUUGUCUCCCAGGCUCCAUCCCUGCUUAAAGACUUUUAUUUUCUUAUCUUGUGAACUAUACAAGGUAAGUAGUAGGUUUUAAUAUUUUUCCAGAUUAGCACUCGCAUUUUGAAUUUCAGUGGCUGCCAUAUAUUAUUUUGUAUUCAGUACAGAUACUUACAAGAGUGAACAUACCAUGCCACUCUAGAAACAUGAGACAACAUUAUUAAUGGAUAACGCAAUUGCUUCCCUUUCGUAACCAGGCUAAUAUCCAUUUAUCCCUGGAAAUUAUUUAAGAAAACCCUAAUUCAUGUGGAUAAUGGUUUUAUCUUUUGGCUUGAUUUGUUAAACUCAGAUCAGUUACUCAUAACAGUCUCUUGUAAAAGUAUUCACACAGAAAAUUCCAUCUCAGUAUUUUUUAGAUAAUUGUAGAAGCAUAUUUUCUUAAGAGAGAUAAUACUUCUAUGAUUCAUAUUAAUGAAUAUGAUUUAUGAUUCUAAUCGUUUGUUGUUUUAUUCGUGACAAUUUAUUUUUGCAGUUAACAAGAUUUUCUGGGUUUGACUUGGCACUGGAUGAUUUAUGUGUUUUUUUCCAUGCAUACUUGUAAUUUGUUAUUAAUUUGGGCUGUCUAUACACAUACACACGUAUUUUGCACAAAACAUGCACCCUUCGUCCCUUGAGUUGUAUUAAUGCACACAUUUUUCUUCCUACACAAAGUUAGAACUCUAUGAGCACAAUGUAAGCACAUGCUUCUCUCUCUGCACUCUCAAUGCUGCUCAGUCUUCUACUUUUACUUCUCUUUUACAACUUCCUUUUUGCUAGUUUUCUUUCAAAAUCUUCUAUUUAUAGGGUUUGUGCUUCUAUUUUAUGUUUGUAUGUGAGAAUUACCAUCAUUUUUCAUUUUAAUAAACCGGUAGAGGUCAAAGAAUAAAAAAUAAAAUAAAAUAAAUACACGUUUUUAGACAUGUUAUGUACUUUACAGUUUACCCCAUUCUUUCCCCUUGGCCUAGCCUCUAAAAAACAAUUGAUUUACUGCCUGUCAUUAAAUAUUGUAUACUCUUGUUGUCAUGUUCCUUAAUCUUAAUUAGGUUGCACAAUGAGUAGCUUCAGGUUUACAGUUAUAAAGGAUGUUAAACAUCAUUCAAAGAUAUGAUUGCCUUCGACUCAUUGUCUCCUGUCGAAUGCAGAUCGCCACCACAAGAAACUUUGGAGACUUCAUCUCUAACCUUUGUUGGCUCGAUGUUAUAGUGAAUGGGGACAUACAAAUUUGCUUGAGACAGUAGUUUCUGAGCGACGAAGUGUGAUUGGCGAAAAGGAACAGGAGGCUCUCAAUCAUCAGAUGACAUCCUGGUAAUAUGUCCAGUUGUGUACACUGUCUACUAGAAAAUAAUCUCUGCUUUGAUGCUUCCAUAGAGCUCCCUCCUUUAUAUGAAGGGACCUAGAAAAAUUCCCUUUGAUGCACCAUUCUUUUGGCAUGAAAUUCACAUAUAAUCCUUUCCCUUUUAUUCCCACCUGUCAACUCAAUGCUAGACGACAAAUUUCUUUGCCUUGUGCGGAAAACAUUCAACCUCUGAGACAUUUGCUUUAUGUUUGCUGCUGCAAAAUAAUCAACCUCAUUAAACUUCUCACUAGAAGCAUCAUCCAUUGAUGUUCAAAGCAUUCAUUCUCAGACUGUCACAAAGAGGAACCCUUUAAUCAGUCUUUCAGGGUUCUUUUUCCAUUUGCACAUGACUCUGCCUUUGGUCUGUCUUCACUUGACUCAAAAAUUUUGAGCAUUGCCAGUAUUGCCCAGGAUCUGCAACACUUUUUCCUAAAGUCUUUAAACCUGAUCUCAAGUGAUCUUCAGGCUCAGCCAGGAUCAUUUGGAUGAUUUUCUUCCCGAAUUGGAGUUUUAUUUUCUCCGAAUUCGUCAUCAUCUUCUUCUUCUUUGACCUCAAUUUCUUCUUAGACCUCUGUGAUGGUUUUUGCAUCCAACUUUAUAUAUUUGAUCCUAGUUAGCACUGUAUUUGCACGAAGAUUGCAAAUUAGUGUGAUCUUAUUUUUCCUCUCUUUACUUUUCGUUACUUUUUUAUCACGUUCUCAAAAAAUCACUUUUUUUCUCAAAAUCUAUUCUAAAAAAAUUUCUACCCAACCUUUCUCAAAAGUUGCAAUCUAUUUUUAGACAGAUCUUUCAUUGCAUUAGUAUCCCAAACCUCUAAUAUAAUAGCAGAAUCAGUAUAUACAAUUUUUGUACAAUUCAGGCAUAAAUCCAGUCACGUCAAUUGCACAUGCCUUUAAUAAAUAGCAAACUAGUGAUAUCAGUUAAACGGUUAAACCCAUUAAAGAAGAAGAAGAAGAAGCAGCAGCAGCUAAAAAAAUUAGUAUAAGGUAACCACUGAAAUUAUUAAGUGCGUCACAAUUUUUUCUUUUUUAUAUACUUAAAUAGUUGUAAGUAAAAUUACAUAUUCAGGGUUAUAAUAUAUAAUUACCCUAAAAUAAAUUAUUGUUCCACCACAAACAAAAAUCUAAUUUUUUCUUUCUUUUUUUCAACAUCUAAUUGCGCAUAACUUUUUCGACAACUUCUGCUUUCUUUAAGGCAGCAAGAUAAUUUUCCUUUUCUAUGAUAAAUGUAUUUAUACUCCAUGGUGUUAUUUCCAUGAUUUUAUUUAUUUUUGUUUCUUAAUCUAGUGGUUUCAUGAAUUGAGAAUUAAUUAGGAUAAAUUAAGGAUCCUCCUCUUUCCUGUGACGCCUUCGCUUCCGACGCAAAGGCACCACCGCCACCAUAAUGUCUUUGUGAAAGUAAUUUCUAAAGCUUCAUCAACUGACCCUACCCACCCAACCCAGGAAGAUUUUCCAUAGUGCAAAUGAGGUGUAAAGGCUAUUGCCGGUUCGAUUGGGAAAAUCUCAUUUUUAAUUAUACCAAACAGGGUUGAGUUCAAUCUUGCAAUGUCUUUUACAUUCCAUUCAUCACUUGUUGUCAAAGUGUCAUUUAGUUAUAAUGUGACAUGGGAGAAAUAUACUUACAGUGGGUAAGUUCAAUCAUAGUGAAAUUUUAUUUUAUUUUAAACCCAUGUUUGAUUUUCAUUAUUUUAAAACUCAUUUUCGAUCAUACAUUUUUACAAUAAAAUAUUUUACACGUAAAUUCAAUUUUUUUCUACUUUUUACCCUGACGUUUUCUAAAAAUUUACUAUUACAAAACUUAUUUUCCUCCGAAUAAUAAGCAUCAAAUAGGGGCUAAUUAUUGCUAAUUUUUUGUUUGCUAGAAGUACAAUGUUCGAGCAUGCACUAUAACACAGCUAGUGGGGUGAAGCCAAUGUGAAGGAUGUUACAUAAGUUGACCAAUUGAAUUCAGGACACUCGAUUGAAAUGACCCUUAGCUUCACCAUUCAAAUAGCCCUUAAGAAUUGUCUUGUCGCGCUCUUGCCAUAACACGCAAGGCUCUUUUGUAAUUAUAUGACAUUAUAUUUAAAAAAAUCUAUUGAUAAUGUCAUUUAAUUGUCAUACAAACCGAUGCUAUUGAAUAUUCAAUCUUCUCAUUUUGC
rnacentral:lncRNA from 1 species